rnacentral:rRNA from 1 species
GUUAUAUAGUCAAGCGACUAAGCGUACACGGUGGAUGCCUUGGCAGUCAGAGGCGAUGAAAGACGUGGUAGCCUGCGAAAAGCUUCGGGGAGGUGGCAAACGACCUUUGAUCCGGAGAUGUCUGAAUGGGGAAACCCACCUGGUUUAAGCCAGGUAUCUUUUACUGAAUACAUAGGUAAAAGAAGCGAACGUGGGGAACUGAAACAUCUAAGUACCCACAGGAAAAGAAAUCAACCGAGAUUCCCUCAGUAGCGGCGAGCGAAAGGGGACCAGCCCUUAAGCUUGAGGACGGAUAGCAGAACGCUCUGGAAAGUGCGGCCAUAGUGGGUGAUAGCCCCGUAUGUAAAAUCCCAAUCAAGUGAAAUCGAGUAAGACGGGACACGUGGUAUCCUGUUUGAACAUGGGGGGACCAUCCUCCAAGGCUAAAUACUCCUGACUGACCGAUAGCGAACUAGUACCGUGAGGGAAAGGCGAAAAGAACCCCGGAGAGGGGAGUGAAAUAGAUCCUGAAACCGUGUACGUACAAGCAGUGGGAGCAGACUUGUUCUGUGACUGCGUACCUUUUGUAUAAUGGGUCAGCGACUUAUUCUUAGUGGCGAGGUUAAGCGAUUAGCGGAGCCGUAGCGAAAGCGAGUCUUAAUAGGGCGUUUAGUCGCUAGGAAUAGACCCGAAACCGGGCGAUCUAUCCAUGGGCAGGUUGAAGAUUGAGUAACAUCAAUUGGAGGACCGAACCGACUCCUGUUGAAAAAGUAGCGGAUGACCUGUGGAUAGGGGUGAAAGGCUAAUCAAGCUCGGAGAUAGCUGGUUCUCCUCGAAAGCUAUUUAGGUAGCGCCUCGGACGAAUACCACUGGGGGUAGAGCACUGUUUGGGCUAGGGGGUCAUCCCGACUUACCAACCCCAUGCAAACUCCGAAUACCAGUGAGUAAUAUCCGGGAGACACACGGCGGGUGCUAACGUCCGUCGUGAAAAGGGAAACAACCCUGACCGUCAGCUAAGGUCCCAAAGUUAUGGUUAAGUGGGAAACGAUGUGGGAAGGCUUAGACAGCUAGGAGGUUGGCUUAGAAGCAGCCAUCCUUUAAAGAAAGCGUAAUAGCUCACUAGUCGAGUCGGCCUGCGCGGAAGAUUUAACGGGGCUCAAACCAUACACCGAAGCUACGGGUUCAUCGAAUGAUGAGCGGUAGAGGAGCGUUCUGUAAGCCUGCGAAGGUGAGUUGAGAAGCUUGCUGGAGGUAUCAGAAGUGCGAAUGCUGACAUGAGUAACGACAAGGGGAGUGAAAAACUCCCCCGCCGGAAGACCAAGGGUUCCUGUCCAACGUUAAUCGUGGCAGGGUGAGUCGGCCCCUAAGGCGAGGCUGAGAAGCGUAGUCGAUGGGAAACAGAUUAAUAUUUCUGUACCGCGUGUUACUGCGAUGGGGGGACGGAGAAGGCUAGGCGAUCUGGGCGUUGGUUGUCCCAGUUCAAGGUGGUAGGCAGAGAUCUUAGGCAAAUCCGGGAUCUUAAUGCUGAGAGCUGAUGACGGUGAGUCUACGGACUCCGAAGUCGUUGAUGCCAUGCUUCCAAGAAAAGCCUCUAAGCUUCAGGUAACAUGCGACCGUACCCCAAACCGACACAGGUGGUCAGGUAGAGAAUACCAAGGCGCUUGAGAGAACUCGGGUGAAGGAACUAGGCAAAUUGGCACCGUAACUUCGGGAGAAGGUGCGCCGAUGUUGGUGAAGGACUUGCUCCGUAAGCUGACGUCGGUCGAAGAUACCAGGCCGCUGCAACUGUUUAUUAAAAACACAGCACUCUGCAAACACGAAAGUGGACGUAUAGGGUGUGACGCCUGCCCGGUGCCGGAAGGUUAAUUGAUGGGGUUAGCGCAAGCGAAGCUCUUGAUCGAAGCCCCGGUAAACGGCGGCCGUAACUAUAACGGUCCUAAGGUAGCGAAAUUCCUUGUCGGGUAAGUUCCGACCUGCACGAAUGGCGUAAUGAUGGCCACGCUGUCUCCACCCGAGACUCAGUGAAAUUGAAAUCGCUGUGAAGAUGCAGUGUACCCGCGGCUAGACGGAAAGACCCCGUGAACCUUUACUAUAGCUUCGCAGUGGACUUUGAACUUGCUUGUGUAGGAUAGCUGGGAGGCUUUGAAGUCAGGACGCCAGUUCUGAUGGAGCCAAUCUUGAAAUACCAGCCUGGUAAGUUUGAGGUUCUAACUCUGGUCCGUAAUCCGGAUCGAGGACACUGCGUGGUGGGUAGUUUGACUGGGGCGGUCUCCUCCCAAAGAGUAACGGAGGAGCACGAAGGUUGGCUAAGCAUGGUCGGAAAUCAUGCGGUUAGUGUAAUGGCACAAGCCAGCUUGACUGCGAGACAGACACGUCGAGCAGGUACGAAAGUAGGUCAUAGUGAUCCGGUGGUUCUGUAUGGAAGGGCCAUCGCUCAACGGAUAAAAGGUACUCCGGGGAUAACAGGCUGAUACCGCCCAAGAGUUCAUAUCGACGGCGGUGUUUGGCACCUCGAUGUCGGCUCAUCACAUCCUGGGGCUGAAGCCGGUCCCAAGGGUAUGGCUGUUCGCCAUUUAAAGUGGUACGCGAGCUGGGUUUAGAACGUCGUGAGACAGUUCGGUCCCUAUCUGCCGUGGGCGUUUGAGAUUUGAGAAGAGUUGCUCCUAGUACGAGAGGACCGGAGUGAACGAACCUCUGGUGUUCCGGUUGUCACGCCAGUGGCACUGCCGGGUAGCUAUGUUCGGACGGGAUAAACGCUGAAAGCAUCUAAGCGUGAAGCCUCCUUCAAGAUGAGAUCUCACUGGGACCUUGAGUCCCCUGAAGGGCCGUCGAAGACUACGACGUUGAUAGGCUGGGUGUGGAAGCGUUGUGAGGCGUUAAGCUAACCAGUACUAAUUGCCCGUGAGGCUUGACUAUAUAACACCCAA